GCUCACUUUGGUAGCACAUACUAAAAUAGAAACAGUACAGAGAAGAUUAGCAUGGCCCCUGUGCAAGGAUGACAUGCAAAUUUGUGACACGUUCCAUAUUUUC
ensembl:snRNA U6 U6 spliceosomal RNA